rnacentral:rRNA from 1 species
GAACCGUCCUAACGUUGUUCGGAUUCACUGGGCUUAAAGGGCGCGUAGGCGGGUGAGCAAGUCCGGGGUGAAAUCUUUCGGCUUAACCGGAAAAUGGCCUUGGAUACUGCUUGUCUAGAGGGAGGUAGGGGUGUGUGGAACUUCCGGUGGAGCGGUGAAAUGCGUUGAUAUCGGAAGGAACGCCGGUGGCGAAAGCGACGCACUGGACCUCUUCUGACGCUGAGGCGCGAAAGCUAGGGUAGCGAACGGGAUUAGAUACCCCGGUAGUCCUAGCCCUAAACGAUGGGUACUAGGUAGUGGACUUAACAUGGGUUCACUGCCGAAGCAAAAGUGGUAAGUACCCCGCCUGGGGAGUAUGGUCGCAAGGCUGAA